UCGUGAAACAACUCAAUGAUAAAAACAGCACGGAAUUCAGACAACUCGAGGCAACAGUUGUGACUGCGUGUGAUUCAAUCUACUCGACCAGAUUCGGCGUCCUUUUCAUCCGGACCUUUGUCAUUGUGUUCAGACAAGCUCAGGCGGCAGGACAAAUGUCUAAUACGGAAGUAGAAGUCGGCAUUGAGUUCAAUCAAACUGCUUCGGUUGCUGAAAUCCCACGGGCUGAAGACGUUGCAAAGACCUUAGUGGACGCUGUGAAUAACCCCAACAGCACCUUCAACCUCUCUAUUGAUGCCGCUUCUGUCGCUGUAAUUC
ensembl:lncRNA